UACGAAGGGGGCUAGCGUUGCUCGGAAUCACUGGGCGUAAAGCGCACGUAGGCGGAUUGCUAAGUCAGGGGUGAAAUCCUGGAGCUCAACUCCAGAACUGCCUUUGAUACUGGCGAUCUCGAGUCCGGGAGAGGUGAGUGGAACUGCGAGUGUAGAGGUGAAAUUCGUAGAUAUUCGCAAGAACACCAGUGGCGAAGGCGGCUCACUGGCCCGGUACUGACGCUGAGACGCGAAAGCGUGGGGAGGCGAACAGG
rnacentral:rRNA from 1 species